GGAGUGUAAACUUUGAAGAGGACGUCACCGCUCAGUAAAUGUACACAGACAUUCAAUUUCGUUCUCUUCAUUUUAGACAUAAUGCGUAACUGAUUAUUUUUUUAGCACACUGAUCGAUAUCUCGGUAAAAUAAUCUUCUUUUUUUUUAACUAGCGGGGCAGUGAAAUCUUUGCUUUGUGCUAAAGUCAACAGUGACAGAGUUUGAGCUCAAAUAAAUGCCGUGAUGUCUCCAGCCCUUUGCAGAAGGCUGAAGGCGAGGUUCCACAUUGGGCUCCUAGCUUGCCAGUAAGCAUCCACCGUAUUUCACAGAUGGAGGUGGAAUGGGACCAAUGGGAUCAAUGCGGUGCUGCCUACAAUCUUCUCCCUGCAUCACCUCAGAUCCACAGACACAGAACCACAAAGGCAGUUUCCUCUCUGAGUGCUUGUCUACCUGGCUACGUCUGCGUCUGACCUGUCUGGAUCUAUGAAAUAUCAAAGCUUGUGUCAGGACGCGUGAAUAGGGAGAGAGAGGCACCAUUAAUGAUUAACUGUUCUAAAAGCCUAUCAGGCAGCCAUGUGACAUGCUCGCAGCAUGUUUUGAGCAGAUUGGGGGAAGCUAGUGAGCAAACACAGGUGCUUUGGACUGGAGUCGCCGACGCUGUCAGGGACAACCACAAACAAGAGCAGCACUGCCUAGCUAAAUGAGAGCCCACCCACUUUACUUACUCCCUGACUAGCUUAGCUUAGUCACUGACUGCAGUGGCUGGAGAGCCUCACCAGAGACCAAGUCCAAUGUCCCCCCAGUGUUCCACAACCUUUCACACAAACAAACAAAUAAAACGCGAGGAUUGGAGUCGCUGUGGUCUCAAGCAUAGGGGAAAGCAAACAAAUGAAUUGUGUUCCAGUUCUCACUUUCUAAAACAAACCAAAUGUGGGUUGAACACUUGUUCUUGAGAAGCCUAGUGGAGGCGAUGAGAGAUAUUCAGAAAUAUGCAGGAUGACAAACUGAUUGUCAGGAAAUGAAGUGGUUGAUUUGAUUGUUUCAUUAAUGUUUCAUGACAGGUGGAUGACGAAUAGAUCAUAAAGACACAAAAGCCUAUUUUCUGUCAACAAAGUAGACUAUUUUGUUGUCCUGAUUUUAUUUCGAUUUUUCUGGAGUUGUUUUCAAGGUUUUAUAAACACGGUCUAGGUCCAGGCACUUAACCAUUUUCUCCUCAACAACGUCUGUCCCUUUGUAAAACGACUGAGAGCGUUCUGUAGCACAACUUUGAUAACACAAUCAGAUGAUAUGAUGGCGUUAACUGAACACGGCUUUCCGGCAGCGAGAUAAAUGAACAGCACGAUAACGUUAACAAAAGCCUAGCUCUGAUUGGUAGGUCUAUGAUUGGAAAACAGGCAGCACGGAAAGUCUACACAAUAAGGGCAAUUCAUUAGAUUUGUUAUUUUCUACAUGACCUGGGUCAGACGGACACCUUUUGUAUCAGUCAAAUAUUUAUUUGUGUGUUUUACAGGUCUUUCGUUUCAUACCCAGCAAUUACAGUGAGCCUGUAAAGCAGACAUGAUAAAAGUGUUUUAAAACAAACACUCCAAAUCAACAGGAGAGGAAAUUAAGUUGUAAAGGCAGAGCGAGACAGAGAGAGAGAAGCUGAGACAGAACAAGAGGGAGAAAAAGACAUAGAGAGAGAAGCUGAGAGAGAACGAGCGGGAGAGAGAGACAGAGAGAGAGAAGCAGAGAGAGAACAAGGGGGGAGGGGGUAGAAACAGGGAAUGGACUCAGGGGGUAUGCUAAUUUGGUAUAGAGCAGACCUAACUCACUCUAUUAAAUUAAUCAAAACAGGAACAUUUUACAUUUGUCUAGAACUUCAAAAGGAAAUUAUCUUCACAGAGAAAAAUGUCCUCCAGUGUGCUACCUAUAUCCCCCACUAGAAUCCCCAUACUUUAAUGAAGACAGCUUCUCCAACCUGUAGGGGGAAAUCAAUCAUUUCCAGGCCCAGGGACAUGUACUAGUCUGUGACGACCUAAAUGCCAGAACUGGACAAGAACCUGACACCCUCAGCACACAGGGGGACAAACACCUACCUGGAUGAGACAGCAUUCCCUCCUUUCCCUACCCGCUGGGUAUGUACAUAGUCAAUGGUAGGCUUCGAGGGGACUCCUAAGGUAGGAACACCUAUAGCUCAUCUCUUGGCAGUAGUACUGUAGACUACUUUAUCACUGACAUCAACCCAGUGUCACUCAGAGCGUUCACAGUCAGCCCACUGACACCCCUAUCAGAUCACAGCAAAAUCACAGUCUACUUGAACAGAGCACUACUCUAUCAUGAGGAAUCAGCCAAAGGAACUGAAUAAUAUUAAGAAAUGCUAUAGAUGGAAGGAAAGUAGUGUGGAAACCUACCAAAAAACUAUUAGGCAACAACAAAUUCAAUCCUUUUUAGACAACUUCCUGGACAAAACGUUUCAUUGUAAUAGUGAAGGUGUAAACUUGGCAGUAGAAAACCUAAACAGUAUAUUUUACCUCUUAGCUUCCCUAUCAAAUCUAAAAAUGUCAAACAGAAAACCCGAAGAAAAUUAACAACAAUGACAAAUGGUUUGAUGAAGAAUGCAAAAACUUAAGAAAGAAAUCAAGAAACCUAUCGAACCAAAAACAUAGAGACCCAGAAAACCUAAGCCUAUGCCUUCACUAUGGUGAAUCACAAAAAUAAUACAGAAAUACACUACGGAUAAAAGAAGGAACAGCACGUCAGAAAUCAGCUCAAUGUAAUCCAUAGACUCUAACCACUUCUGGGAAAAUUGGAAAACACUAAACAAACAGCACAGGAAAAAAAAAAAAAAAAAAUGUAUGAAAUUGUAUGAAAUGUAUGCAUUCACUACUGUAAGUCGCUCUGGAUAAGAGCGUCUGCUAAAUGACUAAAAUGUAAAAUGUAACAACAUGAAGAGUUAUCUAUUCAAAAUGGAGAUGUAUGGGUAAACCACUUCUCCAGUCUUUUUGGCUCUAUAACAAAGAACAAACAGCAAAAACAUAUACAUGAUCAAAUACAAAUCUUAGAAUCAACUAUUAAAGACUACCAGAACCCACUGGAUUCUCCAACUACAUUGAAUGAACUACAGGACAAAAUACAAACCCUCCAACCCCAAAAGGCCAGUGGUGUUGAUUGUAUCCUCAAUGAAAUGAUAAAAUAUGCAUACCACAAAUUCCAAUUGGCUAUACUUAAACUUUUUAACAUCAUCAUUAGCUCUGGCAUCUUCCCCAAUAUUUGGAACCACAAAAGUGGAGAUAAAUUUGACCCCAAUAACUAUCAUGGGAUAUGAAUCAACAGCAACCUUGGGAAAAUCCUAAGCAUUAUCCUUAACAUCAGACUCGUAUAUUUCCUCAGUGAAAACAAUGUACUGAGCAAAUGCCAAAUUGGCUUUUCACCAAAUUACCGUAUGAUAAAAAACACAUAUUCACACUGCACACCCUAAUUGACAAACAAACAAACCAAAACUAAGGCAAAGUCUUCUCAUGCUUUGUUGAUUUCAAAAAGGCUUUCGACUCCAUUUGGCAUGAGGGUCUGCUAUGCAAAUUGAUGAAAAGUGGUGUUGGGGGAAAAACAUACGACAAUAUAAAAUCCAUGUACACAAACAACAAGUGUGCGGUCAAAAAACUAAUUUCUUUCCACAGAGCUGUGGGGUGAGACAGGGAUGCAGCUUAAGCCCCACCCUCUUCAACAUAUAUAUCAACGAAUUGGCGAGGGCACUAGAACAGUGUGCAGCACCAGCCUCACCCUACUAGAAUCUGAAGUCAAAUGUCUACUGUUUUCUGAUAAUCUGGUGAUUCUGUCCCCAACCAAAGAGGGCCUACAACAGCACCUAGAUCUUCUGCACAGAUUCUGUCAGACCUGGGCCCUGAUAGUAAAUCUCAGUAAGACAAAAAUAAUGUUGUUCCAAAAACAAUCCAGUUGCCUGGACCACAAAGACAAAUUCCAUCUAGACACUGUUGCCCUAAAGCGGUGGUUCCCAAACUUUUUAUAGUCCCGUACCCCUUCAAACAUUGAACCUCCAGCUGCAUAACCCCUCUAGCACCAGGUUCAGAGCACUCUCAAAUGUUGUUUUUGACAUCAUUGUAAGCCUGCCACACACACACUAUACGAUACAUUUAUUAAACAUAAGAAUGAGUGUGAGUUUUUGUCACAACCUGGCUCGUGGGAAGUGACAAAGAGCACUUACAGGACCAGGGCACAAAUAAUAAUAUAAUAAUAAUCAAUAAUGAUGCUCUUUAUUUGACCAUCUUACAUAUAAAACCUUAUUUGUUCAUCAAAAAUGGUGAAUAACUCACCACAGGUUAAUGAGAAGAGUGUGCCUGAAAGGAUGCACAUAACUCUGCAAUGUUGGGUUGUAUUGGAGAGAGUCUCAGUCUUAAAUAAUUUUCCACACACAGUCUGUGCCUGUAUUUAGUUUUCAUGCUAGCGAGGGCCGAGAAUCCACUCUCACAUAGGUAUGUGGUUGCAAAAGGCAUCAGUGUCUUAACAGCAUGAUUUGUCAAGACAGGAUACUCUGAGCGCAGCCCAUUCCAGAACUCUGGCAAUGGCUUCUGAUUACAUUUUCACAGAACCGCUUGUUGCAAUUUCGAUGAAGCUCUCUUGUUCAGAUAUCGGUAAGUGGACUGGAGGCAGGGCAUGAAAGGGAUAACGAAUCCAGUUGUUUGUGUCAUCCGUUUCGGGAAAGUACCUGCGGAAUAGCGAAUCCAACUCCCUAAGGUGCUUUGCUAUAUCACAUUUGACAUUGACCGUAAGCUUGAGUUCAUUUGCUCACAAAAAAUAAUACAAUGAUGGAAAGACCUGUGUGUUGUCCUUGUUAAUGCAGACAGAGAAGAGCUCCAACUUUUUAAUCAUAGCCUCAAUUUUGUCCCGCACAUUGAAUAUAGUUGCAGAGAGUCCCUGAAAUCCUAGAUUCAGAUCAUUCAGGUGAGAAAAAACAUCACCCAGAUCGGCCAGUCGUGUGAGAAACUCGUCAUCAUGCAAACAGUCAGACAAGUGAAAAUGAUGGUCAGUAAAGAAAACUUUAAGCUCAUCUCUCAAUUCAAAAAAACGUGUCAAUACUUUGCCUCUUGAUAACCAGCACACUUCUGUAUGUUGUAUAAGCUUUACAUGGCCGCUGCCCAUAUCAUUGCAAAGUGCAGAAAAUAUACGAUAGUUCAGGGGCCUUGCUUUAACAAAGUUAACCAUUUUCACUGUAGUGUCCAAAAUGUAUUUCAAGCUGUCAGGCAUUCCCUUGGCAGCAAGAGCCUCUCAGUGGAUGCUGCAGUGUACCCAAGUGGCAUCGGGAGCAACUGCUUGCACGCGCGUUACCACUCCACUAUGUCUCCCUGUCAUGGCUUUUGCGCCAUCUGUACAGAUGCCAACAUGAGCAGCAGCUACGUUUGGCUACAUACGGACCGUUAGUGGCAUUCCCGCGAGACAGUAACGGUUAAUGUGAUUGGAUGUUAAUUAUUUGACUAGGCUACCUGUAUUUGACAUUGUGUUGUUAUUUCGCUGAACACUAGAUGGUUGAAUUGUAUUUUUGGCAGUGAAACGAGGCUACUCAGGCAAGAAAAAAACCUCACCCAAAUGUAUAGCCCCGUUGGAAAAUAUAAAUGGACUGUUUCAAAAUGUUAAGAAAUAAAUAUAUAAAAAAAUGUAAAAAGUGAAUCACAUUUUUAUUUGGCGUACCCCUGAUGGCAUUGCGCGUACCCCUGGGGAAUACCUGCUGUAGAGCACACAAAAAAACUAUACAUAUCUCGGCCUAAACAUACCCUCCCUGGCGCUCGAGGGCACCAGGCUACCCUUCUUUACACGCACCUGUCACUAUCAUUACGCGCAGCAGCGCUCAUUGGACUCACCUGGACUCCUUCACGUUGUUGAUUACCCCCUGUAUAUCUGUCUGUUCCUCUGUGGUGUUCCCUGUGUCCCCAUUAAUUGUUGUUAUGUGUUCCUGUCCAGACGCUGUUCCUGUUCCGUUUCAUGUCCGUCAGCUAUUAAACCUUCACUCCCUGUACCUGCUUCUCAUCUCCUGCGUCGUUCCUUACACGCCACAGGUAACUUCCACAAAGCUGUGAACGGUCUGAGAGACAAGGCAAGAAGGCCCUUCUAUGUCAUCAAAAGGAACAUAAAAUUCGACAUACCAAUUAGGAUCUGGCUAAAAAUACAUUAAUCAGUUAUUGAACCCAUUGCCCUUUAUGGUUGUGAGGUCUGGGAACCGCUCACCAAAUGGGACAAACACCAAAUUGAGACUCAGCAUGCAGAAUUCUGCAAAAAUAUCCUCGGUGCACAACAUAAAACACCAAAUAAUGCAUGCAGAGUAUAAUUAGGCCGAUACCUACUAAUUAUCAAAAUACAGAAAAGAGACGUUAAAUUCUACAACCACAUAAAAGGAAGCGAUUCCCAAACCUUCCAUAACAAAGUCAUCACCUACAGAGAGAUGAACCUGUAGAAGAGUCCCCUAAGCAAGCUGGUCAGCAACACAAUUAGACCCAACCAAAUCAUGAGAAAACAAAAAGAUAAUUACUUGACACAUUGGAAAGAAUCAAGAAAAAAACUGAGCAAACUAGAAUGUUAUUUGGCCCUGAACGGAGUACACAGUGGCAGAAUACCUGACCAAUGUGACUGACCCAAACUUAAGGAAAGCUUUGACUAUGUACAGACUCAGUGAGCAUAGCCUUGCUAUUGAGAAAGGCCGCCGUAGGCAGACCUGGCUCUCAAGAGAAGACAGGCUAUGUGCACACUCCCCAGAAAAUGAGGUGGAAACUGAGCUACACUUCCUAACCUCCUGCCAAAUGUAUGACCAUAUUAGAGACAGAUAUUUCCCUCAGAUUAUACAGACCCACAAAGAAUUUGAAAACAAACCCAAUUUCGAUAAACCCCCAUGUCUACUGGGUAAAAUACCACAGUGUGCCAUCACAGCAGCACAAUUUGUGACCUGUUGCCACAAGAAAAGGGCAACCAGUGAAGAACAAACACCAUUGUAAAUACAACUCAUAUUUAUGUUUAUUUAUCUUCCCUUUUGUACUUUAACUAUUUGCACAUAAUAUGACAUUUGAAAUGUCUUUAUUAUUUUGGAACUUUUGUGAGUGUAAUGUUUACUGUUACAUUCUAUUGUCUAUUUCUACUUCACUUGUUUAUUAUCUACUUCACUUGCUUUGGCAAUGUUAACAUAUGUUUCCAUGCCAAUAAAGCCCUUAAAUUGAAAUGUAAUUGAGAGAGAUGAGUAGAGAGAACAAUAGAGAGGGGGGGGGAGAAAGCAGGACAGAGAGAGAAGCAGAGAGAGAACAAGAGGGAUAAAGAGAGACAGACAGACAGAGAUCAAAACUAGGUCAGCAGUACCUCUGGAACUCUACUGUCCAGCUGACUUUUUGAGCCCAAUUCUCAGUGUGUGUAUGUGUGUGUGUGUGUGUGUGUGUACACACACUCUAGGGGCUCACUCAAAGCUGUGUUUGUUUUCCUUCUGAAUCUGAUUGAAGAAAUAUUGGGGUCUUGAUAUAGAAUAUUGGAAAUGAAAAAAAAGCCCAAAUGUCAUUUUAUAUUCUAAGAAUAAAAACACUAUAUAAAAAACACUAUAUAUAAUUUAAGUACUAUUUUGAAGAAAUAUAAUAUUGUCUACCUUUUCGUGUCUGAAAUUCUUUGCAAUUGUUUAUUCUAGCUACCUGGUACAUUCAAUUUGCAAACAUUUCAAUUUUUGGGGGUAAGAAGACUGUUUAAAGAAUAACAGUAUGUUUCACUUCUUGUAAGCUUUCUUUGUGGACAUGGUGUCUAAGCCUCAAUAGAAACUAACGAAGUAGACCCAUUGAUCAGCUCAACUCAUGUUAUGCAGAAGAUCCCUGUGGGGAUUUACUGUGAUGUGAUCGUGGAGUCUGAUCUGAGGAGUUACGAAUCCUCACUUUCAGGGAUCUUACUGUAAUUCAAAUGCAGGAGUUGAGUCAAAGCGUUGAGGGCUGAGUUAAAGCGUGGGGGCCUAACAUCUCGAGAGGAUUUCAGACAACAGCUUUGUUGCCAAGUCAUUGUGCCACUGUGAAAGUUGUAAUGAGGUAAAAAGAUGAAAGCUCACUGAACAUAGUGACACGCUCAAAGGCCCUUUUGAUGUCACAGGCCCAAUGCUAAAAUUUGAAAAGAGCAAAGUGUGUCCUAAGCUGCAAUGCACUGCAUUAACCCCUAGUCUUUUGUCAGGCCUACACAUACAACAAAGGAAUAUUCCAUUCUGUGGAAAAUGUCAUUCAUUAAUGGUGAGUUGCUCUUUGAAAGGAAAGCUUACCGCCAAUGUACUUGAAACCGUCAAUGUACUUGACUCUUAUCUAGAAAAGGUGAUCAAGGGAUGGAUAGUGUUCACUUGUAUUUAAAAUGUUGUUGUAGUUACAAGGAAAUAUGCUUUUUGUUUGCUAUACACUGAAAUAAAUAACUUUCCCGCAAAUGCAUGGAAAUACACAGUAAUGCAAUAUGUAAAAUGGAACUGACACCAUUUAAACUACUUUGCAGACAUUAAACCAACAGACAAUCAUAAUAUCAGUCAAAAAUAUCACAUUCCCAGUUUAUGCUACAAAACCAACUUCAUAAAAAGGUUUUAAAAAUAUGUUAUAUUUGACUCAGAAUUCCAUGGGAUUUUUCAGAGAAUAGAUGGAUGCAGUUCAAUGCAUGAUUAAUAUAAUUCACCAUUACAUUUGUUGGAAGCCCAAAAAAUAUUUCUAUCAGGUUAUAAAUCCCAGCUGGCCUGGAACAUUGUUUGUUAUCUCCACCCAUUCAGUUUCAGUUUCAAUGACUCAAUAUUUUGAACAAAAACAGACGACUGUAACUAAGGCUAGGAAUGUCAAUACAAUCAAACCACAGGAGGUUGGUGUUACCUUAAUUGGGGAGGACAGGUUCAUGGUAGUGGCUGGAGCAGAAUUAGUGGAAUGGUAUCAAAUACUUCAACCACAUGGUUUUCACGUGUUUGAUGCCAAUCCAUUUAUUCCGUUCCAGCCAUUAUUAUGAUACGUCCUCCCCUCAGCAGCCUCCACUGAAUCCAACUAGCAAGGGCAAUGAUCACAAGUCAGUCAUAAUGUGGCUAAUAGGCUAGUGAACAUAUCAAACACAAGGCCCUUGGACUGAAUAGGACAAAGAAGCGAAUAUAAAUAAGUAAAAAGUAAUCUACUUCAUGAAAAUACAGCCUGAUGUGCUUGCUUUGGGGAAUUCAACUUCAAUUGCACUGCUUUAGUUUUUCCCGUUUGUAGCGUGCAGUGGAGGGAAAGUGUACAGACACAUGCCACAGUCCUAGCUAGGCUACUAAAAUGUUGCAGUCUGGCUUUGCUUUUUAAAGCUUGACAAUGAAUAACCAAAAAACUAAACCUGCAGCAAAACACCACGCAAAGGUAAAACAUGUAGGCCUAUUACAGCAACAUUUGAGCAGUAGCCUAAUCUGGCUACUCAACCACAAGACAUUUUGAGUGCACCAAAUGUUCAAUACGGCCCGUGCGCUGAUUGAGUUUGAUACCCAUGGGCUAGCAUAUCUAUUUAUGUAGCUACCUAUUUAUUUAGCAAGCUAAAAACAAGGAGCCUAAUGUUAGCAAACUAGCUAGCUAGCUGCUGGGAGGAUGUCAUUGGAGGAGUGGGGUAGUGACCGACUUUUUCCCCUCAUAUCAUUUUUCAGUGGCUACAGCUAGAGAUGCAGGUGUCAUUUGGUUAGCUAGCAAGAAUGUGAAUCGCUUCGCUAGCUAGCUAUGCUGAACCUGAACGACUGCUAUCCACAGUUAGCAUAUAUCUUAGUUGUCAAGCAAAUGUAUUUGGCAGGCAGGCAAGUUCCCAUUCAGUUCUCAAAAGAUGGGUUGGGACAAGAAUGCAUUGGCAGACAAGCUGCAGAAGGACGAGCAAGCUACUCUUCCCCAUCGUUUAUCAGAAAAUAAUUUAUAGCCAACUAAAAGCUGAGAAAGUUUGAGAGGGUUUAUCUAGUGUUCCUUCGUUAGAUUUUAGCUCAUCUCUCUCCGGCUAGCAUUAGUUAUUGAUCUUGUUGUUGUUGAUAUGCAUAGGCAACCCGAGGGAGAGAGAGCCUACUGUACCUGUUCAUGGUUGUUUGAUCAAUAGGGCUGUGACGUUCCCAAAUGUAAGAUGACUCCCAUGGUAUUUACAUAUUUGCAGAAAUCCAUUCAGGUGAUUUAUGUGGCUUUUGGUGAAUGCAAUCAAAUGAUUUAAAGUUGCGCUGUUGCUACUGCAUAUACGUAAACACACAGUCCAGUUCAAAGUGAAUGAUGGCAGGUCUGUGUGGCAAAUGGCUUAAUUCCAUAUAGGCCUACUGUAGCUCUGACUGGCUAUGGUACACCGGUCUGCGGAGACAACGUCCUGGACAAGACAGAUGUUUUUAUUAGGUUUUAUUUACUGCAGUGUCUAUUAAUUGUCCAAAUUCACAUCCGUUUUCCCACUCUAUAUUGCUAUAGAACUUUCACAAAUGCCUAAGUAUAUGUAAUUCCCAAACAUUAUAUGAAUUAAAUGAAAAUGUGAAAAUGACUAUAUCGAAUGUGUCAUAU
rnacentral:lncRNA from 1 species